rnacentral:rRNA from 1 species
CAGUCGCCGCGGGAAUACGUAGGGUGCAAGCGUUAAUCGGAAUCACUGGGCGUAAAGCGUGCGCAGGCGGUUAUAUAAGACAGAUGUGAAAUCCCCGGGCUCAACCUGGGAACUGCAUUUGUGACUGUAUAGCUAGAGUACGGCAGAGGGGGAUGGAAUUCCGCGUGUAGCAGUGAAAUGCGUAGAUAUGCGGAGGAACACCGAUGGCGAAGGCAAUCCCCUGGGCCUGUACUGACGCUCAUGCACGAAAGCGUGGGGAGCAAACAGGAUUAGAUACCCGCGUAGUCCCUGUCUCUUAUAC